CGACCGGAUGCGGAUCUCGAAAGCCUGUCCCAGUUCGGACUGGAGUCUGCAACCCGACUCCACGAAGUUGGAUUCGCUAGUAAUCGCGCAUCAGCCAUGGCGCGGUGAAUACGUUCCCGGGCCUUGUACACACCGCCCGUCAAGCCAUGGGAGCCGGGGGCGCCUGAAGUCCGGGACCGCGAGGACCGGCCUAGGGCGAAACUGGUAACUGGGGCUAAGUCGUAACAAGGUACC
rnacentral:rRNA from 1 species